UUAUCAGUGUUGUUAUUGGGGAAGCUGGCCCUGUAUCAGUGUUGUUAUUGGGGGAAGCUGGCCCUGUAUCAGUUGUUAUUGGAGGAAGCUGGUCCUGUAUCAGUGUUGUUAUUGGGGGAAGCUGGCCCUGUAUCAGUGUUGUUAUUGGGGGAAGCUGGCCCUGUAUCAGUGUUGUUAUUGGGGGAAGCUGGCCCUGUAUCAGUGUUGUUAUAGGGGGGAACAUGUAUCAGUGUUGUUAUUUGGGGGGUAGCACUAUUCACUAUCCAGAGGAAGGAAGGGUGGGGUGGUCAUAGGUCAUAGGUCAUACAGUUAGAGGAACUGAUAAUAAAAGGUGCUGUGUGCAGAAGUUGCACUAUAACUACUUUAGAAAUAUAAAUGUCUUUGUAAAUAAAUAAAUACAUGCAUAAAUAAAUAAAUGAUAAUGUUGUUAAAUAUAUAAAUAUAACCUCAACUUAAUAAAAUAAAAAAAUCUGACUCGGAUAUUAAUUAAGAUUAAAUUUGGAGGAUUUUCAUAAAUGAUGUAUGUCAGAGCUAGUGUAGAUCGUCUCGUCUACUGAGAGUAGAUACAGAGAUGUAGCUGAACCAUCAUGUGUUUCUUUCUACUAGAAAACCAGUGUGAACGAUUGAUCGAUGCCAACCCUUCUCUCGUCGCCAGGCUGUGGAUGCAUCCCAACUGGCACACGACUGUCUGCAUAGUUCACUGCAUUUGACCAGAGCAACUAUGAAAGAGAUUUCAUAGGACAUUUUCUUUUUUUCUUUUUUCCCCUGAUGGAAUAAAUGUGUUAUUCAAUAAGCUCAGUGUGUUGCUGAUAAAUACCAUACAGUACAUCAUAAUGCAAGUCUAUAAAAUAACAAACUGGUAACUACCCCUCUCCCCGUCUCUCUUCCUCCGUUCUCUCGGCUCGGAACAUUCUGGUAAAGUAAGGAGGUUUGGGCUCAGUCCCAAAUGAUACCUUAUUCCCUACUUAGUGUACUACUUUAGACCAGAGCCUGUACCCUAUUCCCUAUGUAGUGCACUACUUUUGACCAGAGCCCUAUAAGCCCUUCUUACAGUAGCUAUGACCAGCCCUAUAGGCCCUUCUUACAGUAGCUAUGACCAGCCCUGUAAGCCCUUCUUACAGUAGCUAUGACCAGCCCUAUAGGCCCUUCUUACAGUAGCUAUGACCAGCCCUAUAGGCCCUUCUUUCAGUAACUAUGACCAGCCCUAUAGGCCCUUCUUACAGUAGCUAUGACCAGCCCUAUAGGCCCUUCUUACAGUAGCUAUGACCAGCCCUAUAGGCCCUUCUUACAGUAACUAUGACCAGCCCUAUAGGCCCUUCUUACAGUAGCUAUGACCAGCCCUAUAGGCCCUGGUCAAAAGCAAUGCACUAUAUAGGGAAUAGGGUGGUAUUUGGGCCUCAGUCUUGGAGAGGGGUUAAACCAGACAAUAAGGCCAACACAGACAGACAGUGGUACAGGCCUGACAGACACACAACGAUGACGGAGGCCUCAGGGCCUUAGAUACGCUGGUGGUCAGCUUGGGAUAAACUGGGCGUGUGCAGGAGGAGGAGGAGGAGGAGGAGCAAGUCGGUUACUAGUGUAGGAGGGUUAAGGGGUCAGCACAGGAGGGAAAGGAGUAUUACGGCUGGAGUCGAUAUACAGGCUAGUCUUUUGGUGUUCUAUUGUCUUGUCUAUGAGACGUGGUGAUUCACAUCCUCAUCUGUCCAGCUCUUCUUCUGGAUAGUUUGGAUCUGACAGAAACAAGAGGGAGAGAAUAUAUAUAUAUGUAUAUAUUCAUUAAAACAAUGACUCAAACAGGC
ensembl:lncRNA